rnacentral:rRNA from 1 species
UACGUAGGGGGCAAGCGUUGUCCGGAAUCAUUGGGCGUAAAGAGCGUGUAGGCGGCCCGAUAAGUCCGCUGUGAAAGUCCAGGGCUCAACCCUGGAAUGCCAGUGGAAACUGUCGGGCUGGAGUCCGGAAGAGGCGAGUGGAAUUCCUGGUGUAGCGGUGAAAUGCGCAGAUAUCAGGAGGAACACCAAUGGCGAAGGCAGCUCGCUGGGACGGUACUGACGCUGAGACGCGAAAGCGUGGGUAGCGAAUGGG